rnacentral:rRNA from 1 species
UACGUAGGGCGCAAGCGUUGUCCGGAAUUAUUGGGCGUAAAGAGCUCGUAGGCGGUCUGUCGCGUCGGAAGUGAAAACCCGGGGCUUAACCCCGGGGCUUGCUUUCGAUACGGGCAGACUAGAGUGUGGUAGGGGAGACUGGAAUUCCUGGUGUAGCGGUGAAAUGCGCAGAUAUCAGGAGGAACACCGGUGGCGAAGGCGGAUCUCUGGGCCGAUACUGACGCUGAGGAGCGAAAGCGUAGGGAGCGAACAGG